AGCAGUCGCCGCGGUAAUACGGAGGGAGCUAGCGUUGUUCGGAAUUACUGGGCGUAAAGCGCGCGUAGGCGGUUACUCAAGUCAGAGGUGAAAGCCCGGGGCUCAACCCCGGAACUGCCUUUGAAACUAGGUGACUAGAAUCUUGGAGAGGUCAGUGGAAUUCCGAGUGUAGAGGUGAAAUUCGUAGAUAUUCGGAAGAACACCAGUGGCGAAGGCGACUGACUGGACAAGUAUUGACGCUGAGGUGCGAAAGCGUGGGGAGCAAACAGGAUUAGAUACCCGUGUAGUCCCUGUCUCUUAUAC
rnacentral:rRNA from 1 species